AAAGAAGCAAAAAGUGUUUCUACACCAGUGUUCUCUAUUUUGUAUUACAAUUACAUCCAUUCCAGCAAUUGUGUCUUUGAAAGGAGUAAUAGAAAAGAAGCAUGCUAUGAACGAAAUGAAAAAGGAUGCCCAAUUCCCCAAGCUAUUGUAUCACAACAUCUGAAUUUAUUCAUAUGUUCAAAAUGGCUUCACAGGCUUGCAGAGAAGGACAUUAAUGCCAGUGGGAGGUUGCUUGCAAAGCCACUCUGGUGAGGACGUAGGCAUCCAAGACCUUGCCCUUCUGCCUUUUACAAAUAACUUCAGGACCAGGUCAUGCUAAUUGUGGUCAGUAAGUAGCAGAACUAGCUUUUCCUGGAAUGAAUGGGAUCCAGAGAGCAGACAGCUGAAGGAACACAUCAGA